CCUACGGGUGGCAGCAGUGAGGAAUAUUGGUCAAUGGCCGGAAGGCUGAACCAGCCAAGUCGCGUGAAGGAAGAAGGAUCUAUGGUUUGUAAACUGCUUUUAUAGGGGAAUAAAGGUAACCACGUGUGGAGAGUUGCAUGUACCCUAUGAAUAAGCAUCGGCUAACUCCGUGCCAGCAGCCGCGGUAAUACGGAGGAUGCGAGCGUUCUCCGGAUUUAUGGGGUUUAAAGGGUGCGUAGGUGGUUUUUUAAGUCAGCGGUGAAAGUUUGUGGCUCAACCAGAAAAUUGCCGUUGCUACUGGCAGCCUUGCUUGUGUUUGCGGUAGGCUGAUUGCGUGUUGUAGCGGU
rnacentral:rRNA from 1 species